rfam:Bombyx mori DNA, contig: Bm_scaf12_contig10020, strain: p50T/Dazao, build 2, whole genome shotgun sequence.
UUAACUCAAAUUUGUAUGGAGUUAGAACAACUUCCCUUCGUUUGCCGCUAGGGACGCUGUUUCAACUCCAUACAAAUUUGAGUUA